rnacentral:rRNA from 1 species
GAGSMAUUGGCGGGSAUGCUAAUACAUGCAGUCGAGCGGACCRAAUCGGGAGCUUGCUCUGAUUUGGUCAGCGGCGGACGGGUGAGUAACACGUGGGCAACCUGCCCGCAAGACCGGGAUAACUCCGGGAAACCGGAGCUAAUACCGGAUAACACCGAAGACCGCAUGGUCUUUGGUUGAAAGGCGGCCUUUGGCUGUCACUUGCGGAUGGGCCCGCGGCGCAUUAGCUAGUUGGUGAGGUAACGGCUCACCAAGGCGACGAUGCGUAGCCGGCCUGAGAGGGUGACCGGCCACACUGGGACUGAGACACGGCCCAGACUCCUACGGGAGGCAGCAGUAGGGAAUCUUCCGCAAUGGGCGAAAGCCUGACGGAGCGACGCCGCGUGAGCGAAGAAGGCCUUCGGGUCGUAAAGCUCUGUUGUGAGGGACGAAGGAGCGCCGUUCGAAGAGGGCGGCGCGGUGACGGUACCUCACGAGGAAGCCCCGGCUAACUACGUGCCAGCAGCCGCGGUAAUACGUAGGGGGCGAGCGUUGUCCGGAAUUAUUGGGCGUAAAGCGCGCGCARGCGGUUCCUUAAGUCUGAUGUGAAAAGCCCACGGCUCAACCGUGGAGGGUCAUUGGAAACUGGRGGACUUGAGUGCAGGAGAKGAGAGCGGAAUUCCACGUGUAGCGGUGAAAUGCGUAAGAUGUGGAGGAACACCASUGGGCGAASGCGGCUCUCUGGCCUGCAACUGACRCUGAAGCGCGAAAGCGUGGGGGAGC